GAUGAAGAACGCAGCGAAAUGCGAUAAGUAGUGUGAAUUGCAGAAUUCAGUGAAUCAUCGAAUCUUUGAACGCACAUUGCGCCCUUUGGAAUUCCAAAGGGCAUGCCUGUUCGAGCGUCAUUUGUACCCUCAAGCUUUGCUUGGUGUUGGGCGUCUUGUCUCUAGCUUUGCUGGAGACUCGCCUUAAAGUAAUUGGCAGCCGGCCUACUGGUUUCGGAGCGCAGCACAAGUCGCACUCUCUAUCAGCAAAGGUCUAGCAUCCAUUAAGCCUUUUUUUCAACUUUUGACCUCGGAUCAGGUAGGGAUACCCGCUGAACUUAAGCAUAUCAAUAAGCGGAGGA
rnacentral:misc_RNA from 1 species